UAGAAAAUUUUGUGUGUGGACUAGGUGUAGCCUACUUCAUUAAAAACAAUUUUUACAUAUUAUUAAUACCAUAUUGUAUUAUUAUUAUUACUUGUCCUAUAACAAAAAGAAAAAAAAAAUGUAGGGGUAUUUUAAGGCUUGGAGGGAUUUUCUAAGUAGUCUGCAGGGAUUUUUGCAUUGGGAAACCUGGCAACACUGACAAGCAUUUAAAAAUGAUCUAGAGUUUUGGCUUUUAUAUGCAGCAACAAUAUCCAGUACAAGAUAACAUGGAACAAAUCAAAAGUGCAACGAGGGUUCGCACGUGGAGACAGAAACUACGAGAAGAUCCAGAAAAAUUACAUGCACGUUUGUUAAGAGUAAAAGGAAGUUAAAAUUGAAAAGACUCAAAGAUGCAGAAAGGCAACGAAGGUGUAGACAAACGAGAAAAGAGAAACAAAAACAUGAUGAUAGUGCAAGAAAGUACAGAUGAUGGAGUUAAAUGUGCAGAAGGCAGAAUUUCAACACCUGUAAACACAGAAAAUUUGAAACCGGGAACAUAUGUUUUAGUGCAGUUUUCAACACAGGGGAAAAACAUUCCUAUUAAUCAUCAGUAUGUGGGUAUCUGUCAAAUUAAUGUUGAUGAACAAAGUGAGGUAAAAGUAAUUUUUUUUUAAAGAAAUGUGCUGGGGAAAACACUUUCAGAAUGAAUGAAGAAGACACCUCAUAUGUGUCUGUGCAGCAAAUUAUAGGCAUUCUUCCAGAUCCUUGCUUAAAAGCAGUGGGGAACAGAAUUUUUUACAUUUUCCCACCAGCAACGACCAUUAGUGUGCAAGCAUAGUUUAUAUAUAUCUGUCAAAAAUGUAUGUGAAAUGUGUGUUUGUACCUAUAUGUUUAUCCUACACAAAUGAUAGGCUAACUCAUAAUAUUAGAAAGUUUAAUGCUUGCAGUGUCAUUUAGAAUGUAGAAUUGCCAGAGCAGAUGUUUAUAAAUAUGUAUUUUAUACUUAAAAUUGUAAAAAAUUAAUGUCUUCAUUAUGAAGAAAAUCACCAGUUGUUAAACUCAGAUACAUACAUGACUAUCUUAUUAAAUUAAAGCAUAGUUGCCCUGUAUAUUUUUACAAUAAAGAUAUGUAUUUUUGUGAAUUUUUUGUGGACUAUGUCACACCCGUAACAAACAGCGUCACACCUGUAACUAAGUUAGAAAAUUUGUUUUUCAGUAACUGUGCUUCCUACCAUUAUAUUUUUUGGCUCUCUGUAAAGGAUUUCAAGUAAAGUACUUGCAAUCAGAA